ACACAGCUGAGCUCAGAGGCUCCAGUCUGGCCACGAGAAUGCAAUGGGAGAAGACAUUGCGUGACUGUGCAAGUACAAGAACUAAGAGAAACUCAUAAGCACUUGGCAGAGAAGGUUCAAAGUGCACUAAAAGUGACAGACACUGGUUCCUGCAAAGAAAGGCCUGUGCUGUGAAAUACCUAACAGCUCAUCCAGAAUAAGAGUCAAAAUAAGGUUACCAUCUUUUGUCUAAUUUUUACCAAGUUGUUGGCGUCUCACAUGGCCAUUCAUCAGCUCAAUACAAACAAGUCUUCACGGAGGUGGAGUUUCCUCCUCACCUGUUGCUAAACCAGGCAGCGUGGAUUGGCAUAUUCACUGACUUCAUGGCACGAAGGCCUACAAAAGCGGAACAACUUUUCACCAGUGCAAAAAUGUUCCAAAAGAUACUCUCUCUGUCCAAUACACUUGGGAAAGCAGGGGCCAUCUUAAGAGCUUUGGCUCAUUGGCCUGCCACUGUGAAGAUCAGAAGCAAGCCACUGAGUUGAAACCCUCCACAUUCUUUUCUGCCCUGCAGAUGGAAGAUUUGUUUCAUCCCUUCUGCAUUUCCUGGCUGAUGACCUAUAGUGACUUGGGAAGUUAAUUUGACAACUUGUUCACAAACGUAUUGAAUGAAUAGCCAACAACAGAGUUAACUCUCUAACUAAAGUGACUACAGAGCAGGAGGCACUGGCCAGGCAAAGAAAAUCCACUUCAGAGUCAUCCAGUAGGUUACAGGCAGGGGAAUAAAAAAAAAGGAGCCGAGAGGAAAAUUUCCAGAACAUUUCCAUUUAGAAGCACGAUCAGACUUGUUGACUAAGGUAGCGACGUUAUCUAGGGCAUGCAUUUGACAAUCUGGCACAGGUGAUGAAACUGACAAACACACACAAGAAACUAGCACAUUAUCUGUAAAUUGGUUGUGAUUGAAUAUUUCAUGUCAUCAAGGGAAUAGAGGCAAUGAAAGAAAAGCCUUAUUUCUCUGCAAAGAAAAGAAUUUCUGUCAGAAAGGGACUAGGAAAUAAAAGAGAAAAAUGUCUUAAGAGAGAUCACUAUGCAUUUGGUAAAGUACAUGUUGUAAAAGGAAAAGGGAAAAGCAGCUUGAUUCUGAAACUCUAUUCAGUGUAAUUUUGUGUAAGCUAUUCUCUAAGGAGAGAGAUUGAACCCUAAUCAACCAGCAUCUUCUUCCAGAUGGCUCUAAGUGUGCCUUCAUCUGUUUUUUAAGAGAGGGCGAAGAUGAUUUCUUACUAUGAGGAAAGGCACAUGUUGAGAUUCGAUCAAAGGGUUUUGCCAAUACAUAUUUAUAACUUGAAGAGCACUCUCAGAAUGGUUUGUAAGGGUUUUCCCUUUACCCAUUCUCUGCCUGGCAUUUGUUGGUUCAUAAUUGCUGAGAUGUUGGCAUGCUUCAGCAGAAUCCUGGUUCUUGAGUGGCUGAGUGGCUAAGUGGCAAGUCCACAGAUUUUUUUUUUUUUACAGUAGACCCUUAAUCAAUACUUGCUGGAUGAAUGAAAAUAAAGAGAUCACAUUCCC
ensembl:lncRNA LINC00393 long intergenic non-protein coding RNA 393